CAGUCGCCACGGUAAUACGAAGGGUGCAAGCGUUAAUCGGAAUUACUGGGCGUAAAGCGUGCGUAGGCGGUUUCUUAAGUCUGAUGUGAAAGCCCCCGGCUCAACCGGGGAGGGUCAUUGGAAACUGGGAAACUUGAGUGCAGAAGAGGAGAGUGGAAUUCCACGUGUAGCGGUGAAAUGCGUAGAUAUAUGGAGGAACACCGGUGGCGAAAGCGGCUCUCUGGCUCGUAACUGACGCUGAGGCUCGAAAGCGUGGGGAGCAAACAGGAUUAGAUACCCGAGUAGUCCCUGUCUCUUAUAC
rnacentral:rRNA from 1 species